rnacentral:rRNA from 1 species
AGUCAUAUGCUUGUCUCAAAGAUUAAGCCAUGCAUGUCUCAGUAUAAGCAUUCAUUUGGCGAAACUGCAAAUGGCUCAUUAAAACAGUUAUAAUGCACUUGAUGAUCAAUUGUUACAUGGAUAACUGUGGUAAUUCUAUAGCUAAUACAUGCAUCUAAACUUGACUUCUGGGAAGGGUUGUAGUCAUUAGUUACAGAACCAACCCAGGCUCUGCUUGGAAUUUUGGUGAUUCAUGAUGACUGAAUGAAUUACAUGGCAACUGCUGGUAAUAAAUCAUUCCAGUUUCUGACCUAUCAGCUUCCGACGGUAAGGUAUUGGCUUACCGUGGCAAUGACGGGUG